UAGGGAAUCUUCGGCAAUGGACGAAAGUCUGACCGAGCAACGCCGCGUGAGUGAAGAAGGUUUUCGGAUCGUAAAACUCUGUUGUUAGAGAAGAACAAGGACGUUAGUAACUGAACGUCCCCUGACGGUAUCUAACCAGAAAGCCACGGCUAACUACGUGCCAGCAGCCGCGGUAAUACGUAGGUGGCAAGCGUUGUCCGGAUUUAUUGGGCGUAAAGCGAGCGCAGGCGGUUUCUUAAGUCUGAUGUGAAAGCGCCCGGCACAACCGGGGAGGGUCAUUGGAAACUGGGAGACUUGAGUGCAGAAGAGGAGAGUGGAAUUCCAUGUGUGGCGGUGAAAUGCGUAGAUAUAUGGAGGAACACCGGUGGAGAAGGGGGCUCUCUGGUCUGUAACUGACGCUGAGGCUCGAAAGCGGGGGGAGCAAACAGG
rnacentral:rRNA from 1 species